UGAGGAGCUUGCUCUUCAAAUCGAGUGGCGAACGGGUGAGUAACGCGUGAGGAACCUGCCUCAAAGAGGGGGACAACAGUUGGAAACGACUGCUAAUACCGCAUAAGCCCACGGCUCGGCAUCGAGCAGAGGGAAAAGGAGCAAUCCGCUUUGAGAUGGCCUCGCGUCCGAUUAGCUAGUUGGUGAGGUAACGGCCCACCAAGGCGACGAUCGGUAGCCGGACUGAGAGGUUGAACGGCCACAUUGGGACUGAGGCACGGCCCAGACUCCUACGGGAGGCAGCAGUGGGGAAUAUUGCACAAUGGGGGAAACCCUGAUGCAGCGACGCCGCGUGGAGGAAGAAGGUCUUCGGAUUGUAAACUCCUGUUGUUGAGGAAGAUAAUGACGGUACUCAACAAGGAAGUGACGGCUAACUACCUGCCAGCAGCCGCGGUAAAACGUAGGUCACAAGCGUUGUCCGGAAUUACUGGGUGUAAAGGGAGCGCAGGCGGGAGAACAAGUUGGAAGUGAAAUCCAUGGGCUCAACCCAUGAACUGCUUUCAAAACUGUUUUUCUUGAGUAGUGCAGAGGUAGGCGGAAUUCCCGGUGUAGCGGUGGAAUGCGUAGAUAUCGGGAGGAACACCAGUGGCGAAGGCGGCCUACUGGGCACCAACUGACGCUGAGGCUCGAAAGUGUGGGUAGCAAACAGGAUUAGAUACCCUGGUAGUCCACACCGUAAACGAUGAUUACUAGGUGUUGGAGGAUUGACCCCUUCAGUGCCGCAGUUAACACAAUAAGUAAUCCACCUGGGGAGUACGACCGCAAGGUUGAAACUCAAAGGAACUG
rnacentral:rRNA from 1 species